rnacentral:rRNA from 1 species
AUAUACGACCAUAGGAUGUGGAAAAUAGGGCUUUUCGUCUGCUCAGCUGUACUCAAGCCACACGCCAGGAGGUUAGUAGUUGGAUGGAUAACUACCAGCAAAUCUCUUCUAUUAUAUAUU